CUUUAUUGGAGAGUUUGAUCCUGGCUCAGGACGAACGCUGGCGGCGUGCCUAAUACAUGCAAGUCGAGCGCUGGGGGUGCACCCUUAGGGGAGACCUCCUGGAGCGGCGGACGGGUGAGUAACACGUAGGCAACCUGCCUGUAAGACCGGGAUAACUACCGGAAACGGUAGCUAAGACCGGAUAGGUGGUU
rnacentral:rRNA from 1 species